rnacentral:tRNA from 1 species
CGUCAGGUAGCUCAAUGGUUUAGAGCAGUCGCCCGGCAAGCGAAAGACUCGGGUUCGAUUCCCGGUCUAGCGA